rnacentral:lncRNA from 1 species
AGCCACCACGCCCUGCUGGAUUUUGGAUUCUUGAUACGUAUCAUCAACCACUCUCCAGAGUUUGGCCAGCUUCACGCUCCGUCAGUGGUCUCACCAUAGACCUUCUAAUCUUGAUUGUGUUGGCUGGUGUCUAUUUUCUAAUGGUGUUUGGUUUUGGAACCUGCAUUUCUUUGAAAAACAGCAUGUGCAUUUUCCCAGAUGCCUGGUAUCCAACUGCACUUCUCCAUGUGUGCAUUGUCCCCUGAGCUGGCAAGAAGAUCCUACUAGUUGGUCUGCAUGCCAUGCCAGCUCGGCCUUGCACCCUGGGGGCCCAGCUGUUGUCCACACCAAGGGUGGCCUACAGAGGGAAGUGAGGACCUUGGGACUUCCUCCAGGACAGCCCUCGCUGUCCAAAUCUCCACCUGCUGCAGAGCUGCCUCCAGUCAAGCCCUUGUUUCCGGCUUUCUGUGCCCUAAAUAAACUUCCGCUAGGAUUGAGCCGUCAGCAUUCUGUGGUGGGCGUCGCUGCUGCAAGGUUGCCCUCGUGCACACAAGCUCCUCACAGGACUUCCAGGAUGAUAUGGAAGAGUAACUGAGAGCAGCCGCCCGGUGCUUCCCAACCUUAGAGGGAGGUCACGGGCAGUCUCCCUGCGAUGCCGGCCACAGGUGUGAGGAAGACAGUCCUUAUAGGAAAAUGCCCUCUCGUUCUUAUUCUCUACUUUAAAAAAUCUUUAAAUCAUGAGUAUAUUAAAUGUUAUCAAAUGCCAUAUUCUACAUCAAUAUAAUGAUUACAAUUUUUUUUUUUGAGACAGGGUCUCACUGUGUCGCCCAGGCUGGAAGGCAGUGGUGUGAUCUGGACUCACUGCAGCCUCGACCUGUUGGGCUCAAGUGAUCCUCCCACAUCAGCCUCCAAGUAGCCAAGACCACAGGCAGGCGUCACCAUGCCCAGCCCCCAUGACUUUACUUUUCUUCUUGAACCUGCUGUCUAUGAGCUUCAUCAAAUGGGCAGGACCACCUUCCCUUAACUUCUCCUUUUCUGGAACAACGGACAUAUCCUGUGGAUUAUCUGUUCCCCACAGGUUUGGGAUAUGGGUGCUGUGAAUGCCACUGUGCUGGGGGCUUUGGGAAGUGUGUGUUUGCGUGCGUGUGCGGUGGGAUACAGGUGUGGUUACUACUUUGAUUUCUUUCUUUUUUUUUUUUAGAUGGAGUCUCACUCUGUUGCCCAGGCUGAAGUGCAAUGGUGCAAUCAUGACUCACUGCAACCUCCACCUCCUGGGUUCAAGCGACUCUCCUGCCUCAGCCUCCAGAGUUGCUGGGAUUACAGGCACCCACAACCAUACCCUAAAUUUUGUAUUUUUAGUAAAGAUGGGGUUUCACCAUUUGGCCAGGCUUGUCUUGAACUCCCAAUUACCAAUUUCUUAUGUGUCCUUUUGAAGACUUUCUAAGUACAACCAACCUAGUAAAGUGAGUCACCCGCCACUGUUUUGUUUGUUUUUGUUUGUUUGUUUUUUAGAAUGGGGUUUCACCUUGUUGCCCAGGCUAGUCUUGAACUCUUGGGCUCCAGCAAUCUACCCUCCUCAGCUUCCCAAAGUGCUGGGAUUAUAGGCAUGAGCCACCAUGCCUGGCCCCACCACUCAUUCUUAACCUCUUCUUCUUUGCCUUUCUCUGUUGCAGAGUCCUGGAAGUUAAAUGCUCUAUUUCCCAGCCUCCCUUGCAGCUAGGAGCAGUCAUGUGACUCCAUUCUGGCCAAUGAGAUACAAGAAACACUUGCUGACAGGUGCAAUCAGAAAGCGUUUCCUUUUCCAGUAACAUGUAGGACCAGUCACCUUUUUGCAUUUCCCCUUUCUUCUUGAUUCGAACAUUGCAUUGCCG